GGGUGAAAUAACGCGUGGGGAUAUGCAUUCAGUUGAGGGUGACAGUUGGAAACAAAUUUUGGUACCGGAUGAGCCGGGACGUGAGGAAAAAAGUGCCUGGAGAUGUGCUCGCGUUUGAUUAGCUAGUUGGUGGAGUAAGAACCUCCCCAGGCGACUAUCAGUAAGUUGUCUAAGAGGAUUAUCAGCCUCACUGGGGCUGGGACACGGCCCAGACUCCUACGGGAGGCAGCCCUGAAGAAAUUUUCGCAAUGGGGGCAAGCAGACGGAGCAAUACCGGUGAGGGGGGAAGGCCCUUGGGUUGUAAACCUCUUUUGUCAGGAAAGAAGGUUUGGCGGUACCUGAAGAAUCAGCAUCGGCUAACUCCGUGCCAGCAGCCGCGGUAAUACGGAGGAUGCAAGCGUUAUCCGGAUUUAUUGGGCGUAAAGGGUCCGCAGGUGGUUAUUCAAGUCUGCUUUCUAAGCGCGGAGCUUAUCUCCUUUCAGGCCGUGGAUCCUUCGAACUUGAGUCUGUUAGGGGUCGCGGGCAUUCCCAGUGUAGCG
rnacentral:rRNA from 1 species